rnacentral:lncRNA from 10 species
CGCCCCUCACUCCGCACCGGCCAAUGGCACCGCCCCGUCCGCCCCGCUCUGGGAACGCCGCUCCAGCAGAUGUGACAUAGACUGGAAGUGAUGGACCCAGACAACAAUCAGAACCAAAGCACCAGAUGAGCCACCUCAGCCACGUGAGCCAUGCCAGCCACCCUACCUGUGACCCCAUCUGUGGCCCCAGUUAUCAUGGAGUAGAGCCCUUUCUCUGUCUACAAAACCAACUUCCUCGCCCAGCUCAUGGGAACACUUAUUCUGUUGUAUAGAAUGAAGUGUUGCUUGAUUCUAGAAUCUCUUAGGAACCUAUUCUGGUAACGUGAGCGAUGGGAGUGCACCGGAGUGUGUGAGUUUGCCGGUGGAUUUGCAGAGGGCUGGCGAGCCAGGCCUGGAGCUGGCAGGCGUGAGGGGCUCCCUGGAAAAGACGAACCCAUCUCCCCCACUUCGCUGUGUCACACCAGGUGUCCACUAGAGUUGCCAACUGUGACAGUGUCCGGAGGUUCUCUGGCUGGGGCUCUGAAAGAGACUGACAAAGGCAGAUUAACGAGAGAAAAACAGACACGAGUUUAUUACCACGUGCAUCACGCACACCCAUGGGAACGUCCGCAGGCCUGACUCCAUUUGUCCCACUUUCCAAUAUUCCAUGUGGAUAGCCUAGAACCAUCUAAGAGAUAAGGCACCCAGAUCGCAAACCACAGGACUCGGAAUUCUCUGCUUGUCUCCUAAUUAGAAGCCAUUGAAGAGUCAGUGGACUGAAUACAAAUUAACCAUUAGAUCAACUGAAAAUGUCAAGUUUAGAUGAAUCUGAGUUCUCAUUUAGAUAUUUUCUGGCUGUUGGCCCAGCCCCACAAAUAAAUACACAUUUGAAAGUUAUCCUGUUACUUUGAUAAAAGAAUUUGGUCUCUUACAAAUGAUAAUUCAGCUCUCAAUGUGGCUUAGGUGAACAUAGUUUUGGAUUUCUUCAAGUAAGAUAUAUGAGCACAGUGUGUAUUAUCUUUACAACAGAUAUCCAUAAUAAUUAUAGUAACAAAGCCAUCUUUCUAUAUUUCUUUAAAGUUUGUUUUUUCCUUUUAAGCUCCAUCCCAGGAAUUUGGGCUGUAAUUCAGGGACUUGUAGAACCUCACAGUGAGAGAGGAGUGAAGUCCUGUCUGCUUGGAUUUAUUGCUGUCUUGAUUAAUGAGAAUUGCUAGCUUUUCCUUACUUUUGGAAGGAGGCUGGGAAAUGCAAACUUCCCACCUGCCCUUGAAGGAGAAAGGAAUCUGGACUGGAUACAAAGAAGCUGGUGAGGAGCAUUUAUCCUGCAGUCCCUGCUAGGUGCAGGGUGCUGGAGCCUGGAGACCGGAGACAGGGGCAGCACCCCGAUGGUCGUAUACCUGCCAGCCCUGCUGGAGGGGGCGAUUAGGGCAGAAGUCUUUCCACUGAGAAGCGGACUGUGCACUGUUGUGGACUGAGCUGAUAGGUACCGAGCUUUUGGACACUGUGCUGCUGGAGCAGGGUGGGGGAUACAGGGGGAGUGAAAGGAACCAGCCCCCUCAGCAGGCCUGGAAAGACGAGGUGGGUGCCCAGACCCAGUAGGUUGUUGCUCUGCUGGCCCAUACUGUAGCAGUGACUUGGCUUGGUAGACCUGGGAGGCCAUUGUGUUUUUAUACUUACCACAAUUCAUGCAUGGUCUGCCCAAUGUGUGGGGUUAGUUCUGCCCGUUGAUUCUCUUCCUCUUGUUUCAUGGUACCCUUACUGUAAGGGGAGUGACCAGAACUGGCCACACAGUGGGCAUCUUCUAGGCACUGUCCUGGCCAGGAGGACAAGGCCGCCUUUUGCACUGGUUCCCCUGUCAGGUCAGGCCUUGGCCCACCACCUGUGCCUUCCAUGUCCUCCUUCCUGUACACUCACGCACCCCUCCCCUGGUAACCAUGUUGCCUUUACACCCAUGAGCCCUGCUGUGGUGCCCUUGCCAGGCACAGUGAGAAACACAAGGGUGACCUGUAGACGAACUGGGCUGAUAUGGGUGGAUCAAGGCCCAGAGCUGUUGUAUAGACGCGUCAGAAAUACAUGCGUAUGAGAAGGGAGAGUAAUGAGAAGAACCUCAUUCACUGGCGAGUGGGGAGGAAGGUGCUGGCAAGAGCCUGGUAUGGAGCUCAGACUAGAGGUGGACCAGCCUUGUCUUUAGAGCUGUAUGAAAGCUCGAAAGCUGCCCCCACCCCAACUCAUUCACCCAGUCACAAAGAUAGGUGACCUGUCAUCAGAUGGCUUCUGUUUCCCGCUAACAGUCUAGUAACACAGAUGAGCCCAUUCUCCUUAGCACCAUUCUCUCCACCACCAACACUUACUGGUCACCUCUGGAUACUGGAAGGAAGAGGUGAACUGGAAAGACAAGACCACUCUCUGCCCUCAAGAUGGGGCUGUGUCUAGCUAAGUGAGAUGUGUGUGUGUGUGUGUGUGUGUGUGUGUGUGUGUAUACACAUAUAUGUAUAAAGACAACCAUAUUUAUUUGUCUAUAUGGGACUACAUCUCUGCAUAAACACUACCAUAUGCAGGCUCUGAGGUCAAAGUUCAUCCUUACCUCAGCUAGACAGGAGGAUCCAGCAUUUUCUAAUUAAUAAAAUACCUCACAGCUUUCCUUAUCCUGCUGUAGUUGGACAUGGAAUUCUUUUGGUUAUUCUGCUUAGGAAAAGUAGCCUCUGCAUUAAAUGCCAAGCUCUGUAGGGGAGCAAAGCCUAUGCUUUGCUUAACACAUAGAAUGGAAUUGCAUUAAUGUGAGAAAGCAUUUCGAAAAUGAUGGAGUCUGUAGAGAUGCUAGGAAUUGUUUUCAUGAUCAUUACCUGAAGCUUCAUCCUAAAAUGUGCUGACUCUUAAUUUAAGUAUAUGCAACCCAAAGUUAUCUAGGCCUGUCAGCCUCAGCCUUAAGCUCUAGUCUUAGCACUGUGAUGCAUGAAGAGAAAUGUAAUUUCUACUCCAAAAGUGUUUUAAGAUAACAUAAGAUUGGCCGAGCGCAGUGGCUCACGCCUGUAAUCCCAGCACUUUGGGAGGCAGAGGCAGGAGGAUAACGAGGUCAGGAGAUCGAGACCAUCCUGGCUAACAUGAUGAAACUCUGUCUCUACUAAAAAUACAAAAAAAAAAAAAAAAAAAUUAGCCGGGCAUGGUGGCAGGAACCUGUAGUCCCAGCUACUCAGGAGGCUGAGGCAGGAGAAUGGCGUGAACUUGGGAGGCGGAACUUGCAGUGAGCCGAGAUCGCACCACUGCAUUCCAGCCUGGGUGACAGAGUGAGACUCUGUCUCAAAAAAAAAAAGAAAAAAAAAAGAUAACAUAAGACUUUAAUUAAGUCUUUGGAGGGCUGGCAUAUCAGGGGUGCGACACACAGCAGAAGAUUUCCAAAAAUCCUCACACAUGUGCGCCACUGUCCUUGUCAGCAUGGCCUUCUCCUCACCCUUUCAUGGGCCACAGUCCCUCUUCUGGCCUCCCCUAAAAGCUCUGGCAGGCCCUCUUUCAUGACCACUUCCCAUCUACCUCUUCUUAUAG